rnacentral:rRNA from 1 species
UACGUAGGGUGCAAGCGUUGUCCGGAAUUAUUGGGCGUAAGGAGCGUGUAGGCGGCCAGGUAGGUCUGCUGUGAAAACUCGAGGCUUAACCUCGAGCUGUCGGCGGAAACCAUCUGGCUAGAGUCCGGAAGAGGAGAAUGGAAUUCCCGGUGUAGCGGUGAAAUGCGCAGAUAUCGGGAAGAACACCCGUGGCGAAGGCGGUUCUCUGGGACGGUACUGACGCUGAGACGCGAAAGCGUGGGGAGCGAACAGG